rnacentral:rRNA from 1 species
GCUAUACAUGCAGUCGAGCGAACAGACGAGGAGCUUGCUCCUCUGACGUUAGCGGCGGACGGGUGAGUAACACGUGGGUAACCUACCUAUAAGACUGGGAUAACUCCGGGAAACCGGGGCUAAUACCGGAUAACACAUGAAACCGCAUGGUUUCAUGAUGAAAGACGGUUUUGCUGUCACUUAUAGAUGGACCCGCGGCGUAUUAGCUAGUUGGUAAGGUAACGGCUUACCAAGGCAACGAUACGUAGCCGACCUGAGAGGGUGAUCGGCCACACUGGAACUGAGACACGGUCCAGACUCCUACGGGAGGCAGCAGUAGGGAAUCUUCCGCAAUGGGCGAAAGCCUGACGGAGCAACGCCGCGUGAGUGAUGAAGGUCUUCGGAUCGUAAAACUCUGUUAUUAGGGAAGAACAAGGAUGUAAGUAACUAUGCAUCCCUUGACGGUACCUAAUCAGAAAGCCACGGCUAACUACGUGCCAGCAGCCGCGGUAAUACGUAGGUGGCAAGCGUUAUCCGGAAUUAUUGGGCGUAAAGCGCGCGUAGGCGGUUUUUUAAGUCUGAUGUGAAAGCCCACGGCUCAACCGUGGAGGGUCAUUGGAAACUGGAAAACUUGAGUGCAGAAGAGGAAAGUGGAAUUCCAUGUGUAGCGGUGAAAUGCGCAGAGAUAUGGAGGAACACCAGUGGCGAAGGCGACUUUCUGGUCUGCAACUGACGCUGAUGUGCGAAAGCGUGGGGAUCAAACAGGAUUAGAUACC